rnacentral:rRNA from 1 species
CCUACGGGAGGCUGCAGUGAGGAAUAUUGGUCAAUGGGCGCGAGCCUGAACCAGCCAAGUAGCGUGCGGGAAGACGGUCCUAUGGAUUGUAAACCUCUUUUGUCGGGGAGCAAAAGACGCAUCGCGUGGCGUUCCGAGAGUACCCGAAGAAAAAGCAUCGGCUAACUCCGUGCCAGCAGCCGCGGUAAUACGGAGGAUGCGAGCGUUAUCCGGAUUUAUUGGGUUUAACGUGUACGCAGGCUGAAUAUUAAGUCAGCGGUAAAAUUGAGGGGCUCAACCUCUUCGAGCCUUUGAAACUAGUAUUCUUGAGUUAGUUAGAGGUAUGCGGAAUGCCUGGUGAAGCGGUGAAAUGCGUAGAUAUCUCGCAGAACACCGAUGGCGAAGGCAGCAUACUGGCUCUCAACUGACGCUCAUGCACGAAAGUGUGGGUAUCGAACAGGAUUAGAUACCCGAGUAGUC